CCCUUAGAUGUUCUGGGCAGCACGCGCGCUACAAUGGUCUUCGCAAACGGAUGCAUUCUCGAAGGAGAAUGCCAAUCUUGGAAUCUAUGCCUUGGUCGGGACAGUUGCUUGCAAUUUUUCGACUCGAACCAGGAAUUCCUUGUAAUCGUGAUUCAUCACAUCACGAUGAAUACGUCCCUGCCCUUUGUACACACCGCCCGUCGCUCCUACCGAUCGAAGAGUUAGGUGAAUUGUUUUGAUCGAGAAGAUUUGACUAUGGUCAACUCUCGUUGUGAAAUUCUGUGAAUCUGACUGUUUAGAGGAAGGAAAAGUCGUAACA
rnacentral:rRNA from 1 species